CAGUUCGCGGUGACGGAGUACAACGAACGGUCAAAGAGCGCGUUGAAGUUUGAGAGCGUGGAGAAGGGCGAGACUCAGGUGGUUUCCGGCACCAAUUACCGGCUGAUCUUGGUCGUCAAGGACGGUCCUUCGAUCAAGAAAUUUGAAGCUGUCGUUUGAGAGAAGCCAUGGGAGCAUUUCAAGAGUCUCACCUCGUUUAAGCCUAUGUUUGGGGGAUGGACUCCGAUAGACCCCACGGAGAAGCACGUGAUGGAGAUCGGGCAGUUCGCGGUGACGGAGUACAACAAACGGUCAAAGAGCGCGUUGAAGUUCGAGAGGGUGGAGAAGGCCGAGACUCAGGUGGUUUCCGGCACCAAUUACCGGCUGAUCUUGGUCGUCAAGGACGGACCUUCGACCAAGAAAUUUGUAGCUGUCGUUUGGGAGAAGCCAUGGGAGCAUUUCAAGAGUCUCACCUCGUUUAAGCCUAUGUUUGGGGGAUGGACUCCGAUAGACCCCACGGAGAAGCACGUGAUGGAGAUCGGGCAGUUCGCGGUGACAGAGUAAUACAAACGGUCAAAGAGCGCGUUGAAGUUCGAGAGCGUGGAGAAGGCCUGGACUCAGGUGCUUUCCGGCACCAAUUACCGGCUGAUCUUGGUCGUCAAGGACGGACCUUCGACCAAGAAAUUUGAAGCUGUCGUUUGGGAGAAGCCAUGGGAGCAUUUCAAGAGUCUCACCUCGUUUAAGCCUAUGUUUGGGGGAUGGACUCCGAUAGACCCCACGGAGAAGCACGUGAUGGAGAUCGGGCAGUUCGCGGUGACAGAGUACAACAAACGGUCAAAGAGCGCGUUGAAGUUCGAGAGCGUGGAGAAGGCCUGGACUCAGGUCGUUUCCGGCACCAAUUACCGGCUGAUCUUGGUCGUCAAGGACGGACCUUCGACCAAGAAAUUUGUAGCUGUCGUUUGGGAGAAGCCAUGGGAGCAUUUCAAGAGUCUCACCUCGUUUAAGCCUAUGUUUGGGGGAUGGACUCCGAUAGACCCCACGGAGAAGCACGUGAUGGAGAUCGGGCAGUUCGCGGUGACAGAGUAAUACAAACGGUCAAAGAGCGCGUUGAAGUUCGAGAGCGUGGAGAAGGCCUGGACUCAGGUGCUUUCCGGCACCAAUUACCGGCUGAUCUUGGUCGUCAAGGACGGACCUUCGACCAAGAAAUUGUUAGCUGUCGUUUGGGAGAAGCCAUGGGAGCAUUUCAAGAGUCUCACCUCGUUUAAGCCUAUGCUUGGCGGAUGGACUCCGAUAGACCCCACGGAGAAGCACGUGAUGGAGAUCGGGCAGUUCGCGGUGACAGAGUACAUCAAACGGUCAAAGAGCGCGUUGAAGUUCGAGAGCGUGGAGAAGGCCUGGACUCAGGUGGUUUCCGGCACCAAUUACCGGCUGAUCUUGGUCGUCAAGGACGGACCUUCGACCAAGAAAUUUGAAGUUGUCGUUUGGGAGAAGCCAUGGGAGCAUUUCAAGAGUCUCACCUCGUUUAAGCCUAUGCUUGGGGAUGGACUCCGAUAGACCCCACGGAGAAGCACGUGAUGGAGAUCGGGCAGUUCGAGGUGACGGAGUGCAAUAAACGGUCAAAGAGCGCGUUGAAGUUCGAGAGCGUGGAGAAGGCCUGGACUCAGGUGGUUUCCGGCACCAAUUACCGGCUGAUCUUGGUCGUCAAGGACGGACCUUCGACCAAGAAAUUUGAAGCUGUCGUUUGGGAGAAGCCAUGGGAGCAUUUCAAGAGUCUCACCUCGUUUAAGCCUAUGUUUGGGGGAUGGACUCCGAUAGACCCCACGGAGAAGCACGUGAUGGAGAUCGGGCAGCUCGCGGUGACGGAGUACAACAAACGGUCAAAGAGCGCGUUGAAGUUCGAGAGCGUUUAGAAGGCCGAGACUCAAGUGGUUUCCGGCACCAAUUACCGGCUGAUCUUGGUCGUCAAGGACGGACCUUCGACCAAGAAAUUUGUAGCUGUCGUUUGGGAGAAGCCAUGGGAGCAUUUCAAGAGUCUCACCUCGUUUAAGCCUAUGUUUGGGGGAUGGACUCCGAUAGACCCCACGGAGAAGCACGUGAUGGAGAUCGGGCAGUUCGCGGUAACAGAGUACAACAAACGGUCAAAGAGCGCGUUGAAGUUCGAGAGCGUGGAGAAGGCCUGGACUCAGGUCGUUUCCGGCACCAAUUACCGGCUGGUCUUGGUCGUCAAGGACGGACCUUCGACCAAGAAAUUGUUAGCUGUCGUUUGGGAGAAGCCAUGGGAGCAUUUCAAGAGUCUCACCUCGUUUAAGCCUAUGCUUGGGGGAUGGAAUCCGAUAGACCCCACGGAGAAGCACGUGAUGGAGAUCGGGCAGUUCGCUGUGACAGAGUACAACAAACGGUCAAAGAGCGCGUUGAAGUUCGAGAGCGUGGAGACGGCCUGGACUCAGGUGGUUUCCGGCACCAAUUACCGGCUGAUCUUGGUCGUCAAGGACGGACCUUCGACCAAGAAAUUUGUAGCUGUCAUUUGGGAGUAGCCAUGGGAGCAUUUCAAGAGUCUCACCUCGUUUAAGCCUAUGCUUGGGGGAUGGACUCCGAUAGACCCCACGGAGAAGCACGUGAUGGAGAUCGGGCAGUUCGCGGUGACAGAGUACAACAAACGGUCAAAGAGCGCGUUGAAGUUCGAGAGCGUUGAGAAGGCUUGGACUCAGGUGGUUUCCGGCACCAAUUACCGGCUGAUCUUGGUCGUCAAGGACGGACCUUCGACCAAGAAAUUUGAAGCUGUCGUUUGAGAGAUGCCAUGGGAGCAUUUCAAGAGUCUCACCUCGUUUAAGCCUAUGCUUGGGGGAUGGACUCCGAUAGAGCCCACGGAGAAGCACGUGAUGGAGAUCGGGCAGUUCGCGGUGACAGAGUACAAUAAACGGUCAAAGAGCGCGUUGAAGUUCGAGAGCGUUGAGAAGGCUUGGACUCAGGUGGUUUCCGGCACCAAUUACCGGCUGAUCUUGGUCGUCAAGGACGGACCUUCGACCAAGAAAUUUGUAGCUGUCGUUUGGGAGUAGCCAUGGGAGCAUUUCAAGAGUCUCACCUCGUUUAAGCCUAUGCUUGGGGGAUGGACUCCGAUAGACCCCACGGAGAAGCACGUGAUGGAGAUCGGGCAGUUCGCGGUGACGGAGUACAACAAACGGUCAAAGAGCGCGUUGAAGUUCGAGAGCGUGGAGAAGGCCUGGACUCAGGUGCUUUCCGGCACCAAUUACCGGCUGAUCUUGGUCGUCAAGGACGGACCUUCGACCAAGAAAUUUGAAGCUAUCGUUUGGGAGAAGCCAUGGGAGCAUUUCAAGAGUCUCACCUCGUUUAAGCCUAUGGUUAAAUAGGGUGUUUAACAAAUAACAAAUGCAUGUAAUUGUUAAAUAAAGGAUAGGUAUACUAUUACCUAUCAAUCAUGGCAAUGUCUUAGUCUGUUUUAGUUCAACUUAUAAGAUUUCUUGAGAUGUACAAGAGAUCUUUUUGUUUACUUUUGAGCCAAGUAUUUUCCUGAAAAAGGAAAUAAAUCAAUAAAAAUUAUUGUGUGUCAACAUAUUGGUUAUAUUAGUCUAUACACG
rnacentral:lncRNA from 1 species